UGGGGAAUUUUGCACAAUGGGGGAAACCCUGAUGCAGCGACGCCGCGUGAUUUAGAAGGCCUUCGGGUUGUAAAAAUCUUUUUUAUGGGAUGAAAAUGACAGUACCAUAAGAAUAAGGUCCGGCUAAAUACGUGCCAGCAGCCGCGGUAAUACGUAUGGACCGAGCGUUGUCCGGAAUCAUUGGGCGUAAAGGGUACGUAGGCGGUCUAUUAAGUCAGGUGUGAAAGCGUGAGGCUUAACCUCAUUAAGCACUUGAAACUGAUAGACUUGAGUGAAGGAGAGGAAAGUGGAAUUCCUAGUGUAGCGGUGAAAUGCGUAGAUAUUAGGAGGAAUACCGGUGGCGAAGGCGACUUUCUGGACUUUUACUGACGCUCAGGUACGAAAGCGUGGGGAGCAAACAGG
rnacentral:rRNA from 1 species